AACCCUCCUGUGCCGGGCUCACGAACAGGACGCAGCCAGCUUCUUGGAACCUUGGGCAUGGUGGAACCUUGGGCACAGACUGCUAGAAAACGGAACUGACCAGGAGAUGCCUGCCACACACGGCCUUUGUCUUUCUGAGAGAACUGAUGGGAGGCCGCACAAGCUACUCAGGAAGCUGAGGCCCCAGAACAAGAAGAGCUGGAGGAAGCUGGGUGGUGACACUUGGAAUCACUUUAGUCAUUCAUUAAAUUGUUGCUGUUCUCAAGUUCGACCUCCCACAAGAACUAUUCUAUCAUAAUUCCCUAACACAGCUGAUUGUAGCUGUCCUUCUCCAAUACUCGAAGAUAGACAUUGGUAUGUAGAGAUGUCACUCGUGGGCUCAUUUCUGGAUCCGACGUUCCCUCAGGAAGGACACCUGAUCGCCCAUGCCUUCCCAAGCAGGACCCUACCAUAUCUGUGCUGUGAGCUUCUUUGUCCUAACCCCCAAGCUCCCAGCUUUAAAAGGUGUCUGACUGACCUUCAUCGGUGGAAUCAAGAAGUUCAAAUGCCAAGGAUGCCAGACAGCAUGCCGCAACCACGGAGCAACACACUUGAAGUCUAGCUUCCUAACGCAAGUCUUCCCGCAACUAGCUGGAACACUUUAUGACACUGCCUGUUCCAGAAGUUCUGUGGGGCAGACAUGAAGGUAGAGGACUCUGGCCUCCAUUGCUGAUGUACUCCCACAUACCUUUGAUAUUCUCUAGAACCUCCUAUCAGGUCUGCUUUCUCCUGAGGAACAUACUCUGGCUUCUUGCCAGCAAUCUGUCUCGAUGCUAUGGACUAAACUGCCCGCUAGCAAUUAGUCUGGACUUUAGUUGUUUUUGAAAGAUGAAUUGAGAUGUAAUUUUCUAAUUAACAGUGGUUGUCAAAUAAAGGGGGACAAAGUCUC
rnacentral:lncRNA from 1 species